CACGUGCUUAGUCCGUGCCAAUUUCCCAAAUUCCCAAUAUCUCUCACAUUUUCUUGCUAGGGUUUUUACUUUAAUUGGGGAACGAAAAACCUUCGUCUUUAGCUUCUUCGUCAUCUUCUUCUAUCAAAUCAAACUCGAGCAAGCUCAAUCUCUGUCCAUAUUUGUUGAGGCUCGGUUGAUUUGUCACCUCAUGCAUUCUCUUGGGACAUAGUAGUACAUUAUGCUGGCGAUCUUUGAGAACAUUGGCCAGUUAGAAGCUAACAUAGCUGAUGAAGAUAAAAAAAUUUCACGGUCUUGUAACCUCAUUGACCUACACGGCUCCAUUAUGGGCAAGUCUAUUUUCUGGCUCCCUUGUACUUGUUACUCUGGCACUUUCAAUAUACCUUCUAUUCGAGCACCUUUCUGCAUACAAGAAUCCUGAGGAGCAAAAAUUUUUGAUUGGUGUUAUCCUAAUGGUUCCUUGCUAUGCGGUAGAAUCGUUUGUAUCAUUGGUGUACCCAUCACUUAGCGUUGACUGUGGGAUACUACGCGAUUGCUAUGAGUCCUUUGCCAUGUAUUGCUUUGGAAGAUACCUUGUUGCGUGCUUGGGUGGGGAAGAGAGGACUAUUGAGUUUAUGGAAAGAGAAGGACGUGCAAGCUCUAAAACUCCACUAUUAGAACACGGAUAUGAAAAAGGAACCGUAAAGCAUCCUUUUCCAAUGAACUAUUUCUUGAAGCCAUGGACACUAGGCAAAUGGUUUUACCAAGUUAUCAAAAUUGGAAUUGUUCAAUAUAUGUUAAUAAAGACUCUAUCUGCUAUUUUAGCUGUAGUCCUUGAAGCCUAUGGUAUUUAUUGUGAUGGAGAAUUCAAAUGGGGAUGCGGGUAUCCUUACAUGGCAGUGGUUCUAAAUUUCAGUCAGUCGUGGGCUUUGUAUUGUCUUGUUCAAUUUUAUACUGUAACAAAGGAUGAAUUGGCACACAUACAACCAUUGGCUAAAUUUCUGACAUUUAAAUCAAUUGUGUUCUUGACUUGGUGGCAAGGUGUGGCAAUUGCUCUUCUCUAUUCCCUUGGUUUGUUCAAAAGUUCUAUAGCUCAAGGUUUACAGUUAAAGUCAAGCGUUCAAGAUUUCGUCAUUUGUAUAGAGCGCAGAUGGCCAUUGCUUCCGUUGUUCACCUCUAUGUGUUUCCUGCAAAACCUUAUGAGCUAAUGGGGGACCGCUUCCCUGGAAGUAUUUCAGUUCUUGGAGACUAUUCUGCUGACUGUCCUUUGGAUCCUGAUGAGGUUAGAGACAGUGAGCGGCCCAUAAAGUUACGCCUUCCCCAGCCUGACAUUGAUGUCAGGAGUGGAAUGACUAUCAGAGAAAGUGUUCGGGAUCUUGUUAUUGGUGGUGGGGAACAUAUUGUGAAAGAUGUGAGGUUCACAGUAACCCAAGCAGUGGAGCCUAUGGAGAAGGGGUUCACAAGGUUUGGUGAGAAGUUACAUAAGAUCUCUCAAAACAUUAAGAAGAAUGAUAAGGAUAGAAGAAGAACAAAAGAUGACAGUUGCGUAGCCACGUCAUCACCUACACGGAGGAUGAUUCGUGGGAUAGAUGACCCCUUAUUAAUUGGGAGCAUUAGUGAUAGUGGAGUCUCGAGGGGAAGGAAGCACCACCGUCGGAAAUCAGGAAAUACCAGUGCAGAAAGUGGGGGAGAGAGCAGCAGCGAUCAAAGCUAUGGUGGGUAUCUGGUCAGAGGUCGAAGGUGGGUUACUAAAGAGUAGUUAAGAGGAUCAAUUCUACCAGUUUGAAAGAAAGUUGAUGAGGAUGGUUUAGUUAUCAAUCAGCAAUGUGCCAUUUUAGCACUCUGUCAAAGUAGUGUCUCAUGGCCUGGCUUCUUUUGUAUACACCAUGGCCUGUUUUUUUUUGCCUCAGACGUGGAAUUGUGAUUCAUGUAUCAUUAAUAUUAUCAUAUACAAUGGGUUUUUGAUAAGUUGUAUAGAGCUUCCAUCGGUUGGCUGAUUAUAAUUUCA